rnacentral:rRNA from 1 species
UGAUCCUGAGAGUUAGUGAUCUGUGGCGAGCUUAACCCGAGAGGGGGAGGCGUAGCGAAAGCGAGUCUGAAUAGGGCGCUUUAGUCGCAGGUUCUAGACCCGAAGCGAGGUGAUCUAUCCAUGGCCAGGUUGAAGCGACGGUAAGACGUCGUGGAGGACCGAACCCACUUCAGUUGAAAAUGGAGGGGAUGAGCUGUGGAUAGGGGUGAAAGGCCAAUCAAACCUCGUGAUAGCUGGUUCUCUCCGAAAUGCAUUUAGGUGCAGCGUCUUGUGUUUCUCUCUGGAGGUAGAGCUACUGGAUAGCCGAUGGGCCCUAAAAGGUUACUGACGUUAGCCAAACUCCGAAUGCCAGAGAGUUAGAACAAGGCAGUGAGACUGCGGGGGAUAAGCUUCGUAGUCGAAAGGGAAACAGCCCAGACCACCAACUAAGGUCCCUAAGCGCUUGCUAAGUGGGAAAGGAUGUGGAGUCGCAUAGACAACCAGGAUGUUGGCUUAGAAGCAGCCACCAUUAAAAGAGUGCGUAAUAGCUCACUGGUCAAGUGAUUCCGCGCCGACAAUAUAACGGGGCUCAAGCAAGUCACCGAAGUUGUGGCAUUUGUACAUUGCUAGGUCGUAAGAUCCAGGCGUACAGAUGGGUAGGAGAGCGUCGUGUGGCGAGCGAAGCGGCGGGGUGACCCAGCCGUGGACGCCACACGAGUGAGAAUUCAGGAAUGAGUAGCGAAAUGCGGGUGAGAAACCCGCACCCCGAAUGACUAAGGGUUCCAGGGCCAGGCUAAUCCGCCCUGGGUAAGUCGGGACCUAAGGCGAGGCCGACAGGCGUAGUCGAUGGACAACGGGUUGAUAUUCCCGUACCGGCGAAGAACCGACCAAACUAAUCCAGUAAUGCUAAGUAGCUGAAGCUGCUUACUGAUGCCUUCGGGCUGAGGUGGGCAGACGAGCCUACGACCCUAUGCUGGUGCGGUUAACGUAUUAACAGGUGUGACGCAGGAAGGUAGCCUCCGCGGGGCGAUGGUUGUCCCCGUUUAAGGAUGUAGGGCGAGAGAUAGGCAAAUCCGUCUCUCACAUAGCCUGAGAUCUGAUGAUGAGUCCUUAUGGACGAAGUGGGUGAUCCUAUGCUGCCAAGAAAAGCAUCGACGUGAGGUUCAAGCUGCCCGUACCCCAAACCGACUCAGGUAGUCAAGUAGAGAAUACUAAGGGGAUCGAGAGAAUCGUGGUUAAGGAACUCGGCAAAAUGCCCCCGUAACUUCGGGAGAAGGGGGGCCUGAGGCGUGAAGACAUUUACUGUUGGAGCGCUGUAUGGCCGCAGAGACCAGUGGGGAGCGACUGUUUAUCAAAAACACAGGUCCGUGCGAAGUCGCAAGACGAUGUAUACGGACUGACGCCUGCCCGGUGCUGGAAGGUUAAGAGGAUGGGUUAGCUUCGGCAAAGCUCAGAAUUUAAGCCCCAGUAAACGGCGGUGGUAACUAUAACCAUCCUAAGGUAGCGAAAUUCCUUGUCGGGUAAGUUCCGACCUGCACGAAUGGCGUAACGACUCCCCAACUGUCUCAACCGCGAACUCGGCGAAAUUGCACUAUGAGUGAAGAUGCUCAUUACGCGCAGAAGGACGAAAAGACCCCGUGACCUUUACUAUAGCUUGGUAUUGGUGUUCGGUGCUGCAUGUGUAGGAUAGGUGGGAGACUAUGAAGCUUGGACGCUAGUUCAGGUGGAGUCAUUGUUGAAAUACCACUCUUGUAGCCCUGGAUAUCUAACCGCGAACCGUGAUCCGGUUCCGGGACAGUGCCUGGUGGGUAGUUUAACUGGGGCGGUUGCCUCCUAAAAAGUAACGGAGGCGCCCAAAGGUUCCCUCAGCCUGGUUGGUAAUCAGGUGUCGAGUGUAAGUGCACAAGGGAGCUUGACUGUGAGACUGACAAGUCGAGCAGGGACGAAAGUCGGGACUAGUGAUCCGGCAGUGGCUUGUGGAAGCGCUGUCGCUCAACGGAUAAAAGGUACCUCGGGGAUAACAGGCUGAUCUUGCCCAAGAGUCCAUAUCGACGGCAUGGUUUGGCACCUCGAUGUCGGCUCGUCGCAUCCUGGGGCUGUAGUUGGUCCCAAGGGUUGGGCUGUUCGCCCAUUAAAGCGGCACGCGAGCUGGGUUCAGAACGUCGUGAGACAGUUCGGUCUCUAUCCUCUGCGCGCGCAGGAAAUUUGAGAAGACCUGACCCUAGUACGAGAGGACCGGGUUGGACAAACCUCUGGUGUGUCAGUUGUACUGCCAAGUGCACCGCUGAUUAGCUACGUUUGGGAGGGAUAACCGCUGAAAGCAUCUAAGCGGGAAGCCUGCUUCAAGAUGAGAUUUCCAUGACUUUAUUGUCGAGAGGGCCGCAGCUAGACUACUGCGUUGAUAGGCGGGAUGUGGAAGUGCUGAAAGGCAUGGAGCUGACCCGUACUAAUAGCCCGAUAACUUGAUACA